GAUGAAGAACGUAGCGAAAUGCGAUAAGUAGUGUGAAUUGCAGAAUUCAGUGAAUCAUCGAAUCUUUGAACGCACAUUGCGCCCCUUGGUAUUCCAUGGGGCAUGCCUGUUCGAGCGUCAUUUGUACCUUCAAGCUUUGCUUGGUGUUGGGUGUUUGUCUCGCCUUUGCGUGUAGACUCGCCUUAAAAUAAUUGGCAGCCGGCGUGUUGAUUUCGGAGCGCAGUACAUCUCGCGCUUUGCACUCAUAACGACAGCGUCCAAAAGUACAUUUUACACUCUUGACCUCGGAUCAGGUAGGGAUACCCGCUGAACUUAAGCAUAUCAAUAAGCGGAGGA
rnacentral:misc_RNA from 1 species